ACUACGGGCCUGGGACGUUGGAGGGGAGAGGUCGAUACUGUAGGGCCAGGAGAUCACAGGGCAAGGGUCGGGCGGAGCCUCCUGGAUGGACGGUCUCCUCACGGCCCGCUUCGUCCUCCUGAGGAUAGAAUAAAACACAAAAUGCCCAACGAUCUCCUAAUUUCCUUUCCUGCAGUCCCAGAGUAAUCCUUACGGAGCGUAUCCUGACCAAUCGCUAUCCGCCACGUCAUCGGCACAGCUGUUGCCCAUUGCGGUGAUUUCGGGGAUUCCCGGGAAACCCGGAAGCGCUGGUGUUUGCUGCAGAUAGGUCCGGACGGAACCACUACACUCUCAUUAGA